rnacentral:rRNA from 1 species
CUAUUUUACGUCCCCUGCCCUUUGUACACACCGCCCGUCGCUACUACCGAUUGAUGGCUCAGUGAGGCGUCCGGACUGGCCCAGAGAGGCGGGCAACUGCCACUCAGGGCCGGAAAGCUCUCCAAACUCGGUCAUUUAGAGGAAGUAAAAGUCGUAACAAGGUCUCCGUUGGUGAACCAGCGGAGGGAUCAUUA